rnacentral:rRNA from 1 species
CUGGCGGCAUGCCUUACACAUGCAAGUCGAACGGCAGCACGGGAGCAAUCCUGGUGGCGAGUGGCGAACGGGUGAGUAAUAUAUCGGAACGUGCCCAGUCGUGGGGGAUAACGUAGCGAAAGCUACGCUAAUACCGCAUACGAUCUAUGGAUGAAAGCGGGGGAUCGCAAGACCUCGCGCGAUUGGAGCGGCCGAUAUCAGAUUAGGUAGUUGGUGAGGUAAAGGCUCACCAAGCCGACGAUCUGUAGCUGGUCUGAGAGGACGACCAGCCACACUGGGACUGAGACACGGCCCAGACUCCUACGGGAGGCAGCAGUGGGGAAUUUUGGACAAUGGGCGCAAGCCUGAUCCAGCAAUGCCGCGUGCAGGAUGAAGGCCUUCGGGUUGUAAACUGCUUUGUACGGAACGAAACGGUGAGCUCUAAUACAGUUUGCUAAUGACGGUACCGUAAGAAUAAGCACCGGCUAACUUCGUG